AACGAACGCUGGCGGCGUGCCUAACACAUGCAAGUCGAGCGAAGUGAGUACUACGGUACGAACUUAGCGGCGGACGGGUGAGUAACGCGUGGACAAUCUACCCUGUAGACUGGGAUAACACCUCGAAAGGGGUGCUAUACCGGAUAAUGUCGAGAAGCGGCAUCGCUUUUCGAAGAAAGGAGAGAAUCCGCUAUAGGAGGAGUCCGCGUCCCAUUAGCUAGUUGGUGAGGGUAACGGCCCACCAAGGCGACGAUGGGUAGCCGGCCUGAGAGGGUGAACGGCCACACUGGAACUGAGACACGGUUCAGACUCCUACGGGAGGCAGCAGUGGGGAAUAUUGUGCAAUGGGGGAAACCCUGACACAGCAACGCCGCGUGAGCGAAGAAGGCCUUCGGGUUGUAAAGCUCAAUAGUAUGGGAAGAUAAUGACGGUACCAUACGAAAGCCCCGGCUAACUACGUGCCAGCCGCCGCAGUAAGAC
rnacentral:rRNA from 1 species